UACAGAGGUCUCAAGCGUUGUUCGGAAUUAUUGGGCGUAAAGCGCGUGUAGGCGGCUUCUUAAGUCUGAUGUGAAAGCCCUGGGCUCAACCCGGGAAGUGCAUUGGAAACUGGGGAACUUGAAUACGGGAGAGGGUAGUGGAAUUCCUGGUGUAGGAGUGAAAUCCGUAGAUAUCAGGAGGAACACCGGUGGCGAAGGCGGCUACCUGGACCGAUAUUGACGCUGAGACGCGAAAGCGUGGGGAGCAAACAGG
rnacentral:rRNA from 1 species